GUUAGAGAAGCACAGAUGGCUAACUGCAUAAAGUUUAAACCUUUAUAGCCAGAGGUUCAAAUCCUCUCCUUAACA
rfam:Ovis aries breed Texel chromosome 13, whole genome shotgun sequence.